ACGGCUCAGUAACACGUAGAUAAUCUGCCCUUAGGCUAGGGAUACCGUCGGGAAACUGACGAUAAAACCUGAUAGAAGAUUUUUUCUGGAAUGAGAAAUCUUUUAACUAAGGAUGAGUCUGCGGCUGAUUAGGUUGUUGGCGGGGUAAUGGCCCACCAAGCCGUUGAUCAGUAAGGGCCCUGAGAGGGGAAGCCCUGAGAGGGGAUCUGAGACACUAUCCCCAGCCCUACGGGGUGCAGCAGGUAGGAAUCUUUUGCAAUGUACGCAAGUAUGACAAAGCGAGCCAAAGUGUUUUUCCUUUUUGGAAAAUCUUUUGCCAGCUGUAAAAAGGCUGGCGAAUAAGGACUGGGCAAGACCGGUGCCAGCCGCCGCGGUAAUCCCGGCAGUCCAAGUCGCAGCCAACUUUAUUGGGUCUAAAACAUCCGUAGCUUGCUGUAUAAGUCUGUUGUGAAAUUUUGUCUCUUAAGGGCAAAAAUGGCAAUGGAUGCUGUACGGCUAGAGACCGGUGGACGUAAAGAGUACAUUCGAGGUAGUGGUAAAAUACGUUAAUCUCGAGUGGACUAACACCAGCGAAGGCACUUUACGAUGACGGUUCUGACAGUGAGGGAUGAAGGCUAGGGGCGCAAAAUGGAUUAGAUACCCAUGUAGUCCUAGCAGUAAACACUGCGCACUAAACCUUGUGACCUCCUCGAGAGGUUGCAGGGCUGUAGGGAAGCCGAAGAGUGCGCUACCUGGGAAGUAUAGCCGCAAGGCCGAAACUUAAAGGAAUUGGCGGGGGAGCAC
rnacentral:rRNA from 1 species